UUCUAGCAAGAAUUGAGACGUUACAAUGAAGGAUAAUUUGUUCUUCUGAUGACAGUAUUUUCUGGAUCAUCUCAUGUGAAAUGAGUGUCUGUUAACAGCAUUAUCAGACUUUUGUUCUUGUGCACAUCAGGAGCUCAAGUGACGCCACUGAAACCCUGGCAUUUAUCACAGACAAAAUUAGGUCAGAAGAGAGCAGAGGUACUGAACUGAAAAGAGAUAAAUUCAUCCUUAGAA